CCUCGAUCCUCUUCCCAUGCCAUCCCCAUUCCAUCAGCCUAUCAGGGUGCUGGCCACACUGGGCUUGGAUAAAGAGGAGUGCAGGGCCGCACAUGUGGGCACACAGGCACCCAGGCACGCAGGCACGUGACCAUACACACACACACACACACACACACACACACACACACACACUCACGCUGUCCCCACGUGACCACACACACACACACACACACACACACACUCACGCUGUCCCCGGGGAAGCAGGUGUCGGCAGAGACACCUCAGUGGAAAAGCUGCCUGGCAGGAAAAAGACUCAGAGAGAAGAGGCAGGCAGAGAGUCCCGGGUGCCGAGCCUACUGUGCCAUGCUGUACUUCUCCUGAAGAGGACUCACCGAAGGUCCUGCCUAGAGAAACCAAGGGAACCCGGAACCCAGUGCCUCCUCCCGAGCUUCCACUUCGUGUUUAUGGGGCUGUUGCAGUCGCUGCCGCCAGCAUACCCGCAUUCAGCUCCGCAAUCCACUGAGGGAGAAGAGCUUCCCCGGAAAUGGCUUUUAGCUAGGAAACGCUCACACCUGGUUCCCAAAACAGAGCACCAAGUGUGCGUGGUGUGGAUCUGGACUCUUGUGGCAAAUGUGCAGAUUCUGACUCUCCCUCACAUGACUGAGGCUCCAACCCACAAACCAUCGAGAGUGCUACUUACUGGAUCGUGUCCUGGCUGCCACAAAUAGCUGCUCACUUAUUCCCUUCACUGGAGACACAAAUUCGGUGGGUUCACCCAGCUCAUCUCCAAAUCCAGACUAGUCUCCGUUCCCACCG